rnacentral:rRNA from 1 species
AACUAACAAGGAUUCCCCUAGUAGCGGCGAGCGAAGCGGGAAGAGCUCAAAUUUAUAAUCUGGCACCUUCGGUGUCCGAGUUGUAAUCUCUAGAAGUGUUUUCCGCGUUGGACCGCACACAAGUCUGUUGGAAUACAGCGGCAUAGUGGUGAGACCCCCGUAUAUGGUGCGGACGCCCAACGCUUUGUGAUACACUUUCGAAGAGUCGAGUUGUUUGGGAAUGCAGCUCAAAUUGGGUGGUAAAUUCCAUCUAAAGCUAAAUAUUGGCGAGAGACCGAUAGCGAACAAGUACCGUGAGGGAAAGAUGAAAAGCACUUUGGAAAGAGAGUUAACAGUACGUGAAAUUGUUGGAAGGGAAACGCUUGAAGUCAGACUUGCUUGCCGAGCAAUCGGUUUGCAGGCCAGCAUCAGUUUUCUGGGGUGGAUAAUGGUAGAGAGAAGGUAGCAGUUUCGGCUGUGUUAUAGCUCUUUGCUGGAUACACCUUGGGGGACUGAGGAACGCAGUGUGCCUUACGGCGGAUUUCUCGAGAUCUUCACACUUAGGAUGCUGGUGGAAUGGCUUUAAACGACCCGUCUUGAAACACGGACCAAGGAGUCUAACAUGCUUGCGAGUAUUUGGGUGUCAAACCCGGAUGCGUAAUGAAAGUGAAUGGAGGUGGGAACCGCAAGGUGCACCAUCGACCGAUCUGGAUUUUUAAUGAUGGAUUUGAGUAAGAGCACGUAUGUUGGGGACCGAAAAGAUGGUGAACUAUGCUCGAUU